GGGGGUGUAGCUCAGCCUGGUUAGAGCGCCAGCCUGUCACGCUGGAAGUCGCGGGUUCAACUCCCGUCGCUCCCG
rnacentral:tRNA from 1 species